UGAGUGGGCCAGACGGUCGCGCGAUGUGCUGCUUGCAGCACGCGUGAGGAAAGUCCGGGCUCCAGAGGGCGGGAUGCCGGCUAACGGCCGGGCGGAGUGAUCCGACGGAAAGCGCCGCAGAAAAGAAGACUCCCACCUGCGCCGCAAGGCGUAAAGGGAAAAGCUGAAACGGUGGUGUAAGAGACCACCAGCGUCGUGGCAACACGGCGGCUUGGUAAGCCCCAUCCGGAGCAAGCGCGAAUAGGAACGCUAUGGGCCGGCCCGGUCCGCGUUCGGGUAGCGUGCGUGGAGCUGCACGGCAACGUGCAGACAAGAUAAAUGACCGUUCACGACAGAACCCGGCUUAUAGGCCCACUUGGCAA
rfam:Collinsella sp. CAG:166 genomic scaffold, scf281